UCCCUUCCAUAGAGCAACACGUAACAACACAUGAUCUCCAACAUUAAAUUCCACGCUCCUUCGAUGAAAAUCAGCAUAACUCUUUUAUCGAUCUUGUGAGGUAUUUAUACGUUGCCGGAUCAUUUGAAUCUUUUUUGUUGUCAUGCGUACCAAUUUUUGUCCCAACAAUGUUGCUUCACCCACCUCAUCCCAGCAUACUGGAG
rnacentral:lncRNA from 1 species